GGGGCUGACCUGGUUUUGACAGCAAGAUGAGGUGGUAUGUAAGCAUGCCGGGUGUAGUGAAACUGACCCGUAAAACUCAGGCACACACUUUUCAAAUGGCGAAUCUAAUUACGCUCUUGCCGCUUAAUCGAAUUAUAGUAGAUUAGCAUAAUCCCGGCACCAGGUGCUGGGACAAGACAUUUCCCGGAAGCCGCUUUUCUGAGGCUCGCCGAUACGGAAAUGCUGACAAUUCAGAAAUAGUUUCGAUAAUGCUCCGCUAUCGGGAUGAAAUUAAGGAGCUAAGGUAUGGGUCGGUGGCUUUGAUCCAGCCCAUGCACGAAAAUCAAGUCAGAGCUAAGCAUGAAGAAAGCGUAUGGUCUCCUUGUUUGGACCCGGGUUCGAAUCCCGGCAGCUCCACCC
rnacentral:tmRNA from 1 species